ensembl:lncRNA LINC01828 long intergenic non-protein coding RNA 1828
CUGUUGUGAUCACCAAAGCAACACUAUCCGUUUAGGUGCUGGAUUAGAAUCCAGGCGAGUCCGCAGUAUAGUCUUUACACUUCAUCAACUUCCACACAGGACAUAAAUUGUACUAAUAUAGUAAUAUACUGAAAUCUCAGACCAACUGUUUGUCAUCGGAUUAGAAUGUGAUGACACAGAAUAAAGAUGUGAGACAGAAUCUGUGCUGAGGUCUAAAUUCACAUUGGAAGUCUGGGAAGAGAAGACUGUUUAUAAAAUUAUAGCCCAGGAAUUGCUGCCAAAGUCGGCCUUUGGUGCAGCUGUAAGUCGGAUGGAAUCCACCUUCCUGACGUCAGACCCACCCACUGGAACACUGCUCCUCUGACUGGGGCUUCCCUGAAUGGAAACUACAUGUCAUACUGCAAAAGGUAAGGAACCCAGUGAGAAAGACAGAGAGAAGUAUGGACAAGAAACAGAUCCUAAACCUGUUUUGUUUUAUUUUUGGUAGUAGUUGUUUAUUUUUGAAAACAUUCAAACCACCUGUAUUGGUGGCUGUUAUUAUGAAAUAAAUAAACUGAGAAACAACAAGACAAUUUGGCCUCUACAAUUUGUUUAGUUUUGACUAAGUAUUUGCCUUGGAAGAAGUAUGUGUACAAUACUCAUUUUUAAAAGAUGCAACAGUCACCUCGUUACUUGGAGUUUUACUUGAGACUUGAAUGGACUGAAACCACCUGGUCACCACUAGAAGCUACAUCAAGGAAAAGAAAGGCAACAUAUUGAAUCUCUUGGGAGAAACUCAUCCUGUAUCUGCUCGAUUGAAAACAUGAAGGUGCACAUUCCAAGCUGCAUAUGCUCAGGUCCGAGUUUCCAAGGAAACAAGGGACUGCUCAUCUAUCUGCAAAACUGAACUGACGAGUCACUUUCAGCUUGUUACAAACCUUGAUUCUGAAUCAAAUUCUAGUGUGCAGUCUAAAAAUUCUCACUGCCUUGUCAUUUCUGCCGAGCAAACCCCUGAUGCUAUGAGGCUGGCAGUUGGGCAGGGAUUUUCCUGGGUUGUGCACUCUAAUUUUUUCCUCUGCACUGUUAGUGAAAUACUGUCAUUGAGAACCAGCUCCACACUGCACCUAUGUGAGAAAGGCCUUGGUUUCUAUCAGUAAAGUCAGACAGGGCUAUGUGCAUUUGGGAUGCCCUGGUCAACCAUACAGGAGGAAGCACAGUGGUCUUCCCAGCUCUCACAGUGGCCACCAGCUCUCAGGCUCACAAACUAGGCAAAGCAAAGAGCAACAGAACAACCUACUUCCCAACUUUCAUUAGUCACUCAAAUCCAAGUGGGUGAUCGUAUUUCUGAAGGUCUUGAAUACAGGACUUCCUGACCAUUCUUUAGCAUUUACUGAUGAAAGUAUUUCAGAUGUGUUAUGUUGUUUGGCAUGUGUUAUGUUGUUUGGCAAUCACAGUAAGUGUUGAGAUAGAUACUAUGAUUAUCUUCAUUCUCUAGGAACAGGCACAGAGAGGUUAAGUAAUUUCCCAAAGGUCACACAGUUUGUAAGUGAUAAAACUGAUUUGAAGCCAAACUAUGUCACCCCAAACUCAUAUUUUUAACACUUUAUUCCAUCUUCUAAAAGGCUGGCUAUUCUAUUUUUCUCUAAGUUUCAAAUUAGUAUGCCCAUUCCCUUGUUCAUUCAUUCAUUCAUCCAACAAACAUGUGUCAGGCAUCUAUGCCAGGCUCUGUGGAUAUAGUAUAAUAACAAACAAGACAGAUAAGAUUUCUCAGGGAGCUUACGUUUUGUAGAGGAGACUAAAUAAAUAAGCAAGCACAAACAAUGUAGAGUUUGUAAUAUUACCUAUCCCAGCAAAGGAAACCAACACUAGUGUGAGAAAAUUAAAUUAUAAAAGACCCUAACAUUUUCAAGAUACUGAAGGGGAUGAGAUGAAGCAGAGGUAGAGUGGGGCUGGAUUAUGCUGAAACACAUAGAACAGACUGGAUUCUAUUUUAAGUGAGGUGAUAAAUUCUUAAGGGUUUGUCAUUUUUGAGGUAGAACUGUCUUUUGUUCCUAUUGUAAAGAAACUACAUAGGUAGGCAUAAAAUACACCUGUAUGCCAGAGAUAGAAAAA